rnacentral:rRNA from 1 species
GAGGUAAAAAGUCGUAACAAAGUUUUCGGUAGGGGGACCCUGGGGAAGGAUCAUUANUGAAAGAUAAUAGGGGUUUGAGACUGCAUCCUAARAUUGGUGUGUGCUCGACUCUUACUCUUUUAAUCCACAUACACCUUUUGUGCACUAUGGGACGAUUAAAGUCCCCUUAUUUACACAAACACUUGGUUAUAUGCAUGUAUUUUAAUACUCUGUUGAGUAAAUAUACAACUUUCAACAACGGAUCUCUUGGCUUUCGCAUCGAUGAAGAACGCAGCGAACGUGCGAAACGUAAUGUGAAUUGCAGAAUUCAGUGAAUCAUCGAAUCUUUGAACGCAUCUUGCGCUCCUUGGCAUUCCGAGGAGCAUGCCUGUUUGAGUGUCGUGAACUACUCUCAAUUUCAAUCUUUACUGAUUGAAAUUGGAUUUGGAUGGUGUUGUGAAAGAAAAUCAUGACUGAUCCUAAAUGCAUUAGUGGUCUGAAUUAAUCAUAUGCAAUGUGAUAAGAAAAGGCAUUGUUAAGAUUAAAGGCAGAUUGCUUCUAAACAACUAAUUACAUGUCAUUUGACCUCAAAUCAGGUAGGACUACCCGCUGAACUUAAGCAUAUCAAUAAGCGGAGGAAAAGAAACUAACAAGGAUUCCCUUAGUAACGGCGAGUGAAGANGGAAAAGCUCAAAUUUGAAAUCUGGCGGCUUACGGUCGCCCGAGUUUGUAAUCUAGAGAAGUGUUUUCCGCUCUGGA